UACAGAGGGGGCAAGCGUUAUUCGGAAUUAUUGGGCGUAAAGGGCGCGUAGGCGGCCUGCUAAGUCGAACGUGAAAUCCCCGGGCUCAACCCGGGAACUGCGUCCGAUACUGGUGGGCUUGAAUCCGGGAGAGGGAUGUGGAAUUCCAGGUGUAGCGGUGAAAUGCGUAGAUAUCUGGAGGAACACCGGUGGCGAAGGCGGCAUCCUGGACCGGUAUUGACGCUGAGGCGCGAAAGCUAGGGGAGCAAACGGG
rnacentral:rRNA from 1 species